rnacentral:rRNA from 1 species
AUUCCAGCUCCAAUAGCGUAUAUUAAAGUUGUUGCAGUUAAAAAGCUCGUAGUUGAAUUUUGGACCUGGUUGAAUGGUCCCGCCGCAAGGUGGGUACUGUUUGAUUGGGUCUUUCUUUGCGGGGAAUUAGUGUGCUCUUAAUUGGGUGCAUUAAGGAUCCGUAACUUUUACUUUGAAAAAAUUAGAGUGUUUAAAGCAGGCUUAGGCCUGAAUACAUUAGCAUGGAAUAAUAGAAUAGGACCUGUGUUCUAUUUUGUUGGUUUCUAGGACGUAGGUAAUGAUUAAUAGGGACAGUUGGGGGCAUUAGUAUUUAAGUGUCAGAGGUGAAAUUCUUGGAUUGCUUAAAGACUAACUUCUGCGAAAGCAUUUGCCAAGGAUGUUUUCAUUG